GACGAACGCUGGCGGCGUGCUUAACACAUGCAAGUCGAACGGGAAGGCCCUGCUUUUGUGGGGUGCUCGAGUGGCGAACGGGUGAGUAACACGUGAGUAACCUGCCCUUGACUUUGGGAUAACUUCAGGAAACUGGGGCUAAUACCGGAUAGGAGCUCCUGCUGCAUGGUGGGGGUUGGAAAGUUUCGGCGGUUGGGGAUGGACUCGCGGCUUAUCAGCUUGUUGGUGAGGUAGUGGCUUACCAAGGCUUUGACGGGUAGCCGGCCUGAGAGGGUGGACGGCGACAUGGGGACUGAGAUACGGCCCAGACGCCUACGGGAGGCAGCAGUGGGGAAUAUUGCACAAUGGGCGGAAGCCUGAUGCAGCAACGCCGCGUGCGGGAUGACGGCCUUCGGGUUGUAAACCGCUUUCGCCUGUGACGAAGCGUGAGUGACGGUAAUGGGUAAAGAAGCACCGGCUAACUACGUG
rnacentral:rRNA from 1 species